AGAGUUUGAUCCUGGCUCAGAACGAACGCUGGCGGCAGGCUUAACACAUGCAAGUCGAACGCCCUCUUCGGAGGGAGUGGCAGACGGGUGAGUAACGCGUGGGAACGUACCCUUCGGUUCGGAAUAACCCGGGGAAACUCGGGCUAAUACCGGAUACGUCCGCAAGGAGAAAGAUUUAUUGCCGAAGGAUCGGCCCGCGUCCGAUUAGCUAGUUGGUGGGGUAAUGGCCCACCAAGGCGACGAUCGGUAGCUGGUCUGAGAGGAUGAUCAGCCACACUGGGACUGAGACACGGCCCAGACUCCUACGGGAGGCAGCAGUGGGGAAUAUUGGACAAUGGGCGAAAGCCUGAUCCAGCCAUGCCGCGUGAGUGAAGAAGGCCUUAGGGUUGUAAAGCUCUUUCGCCGAUGAAGAUAAUGACGGUAGUCGGAGAAGAAGCCCCGGCUAACUUCGUGCCAGCAGCCGCGGUAAUACGAAGGGGGCUAGCGUUGUUCGGAUUUACUGGGCGUAAAGCGCGCGUAGGCGGGUUGUUAAGUCAGGGGUGAAAUGCCGAGGCUCAACCUCGGAACUGCCUUUGAUACUGGCAACCUGGAGUUCGGGAGAGGUGAGUGGAAUUCCGAGUGUAGAGGUGAAAUUCGUAGAUAUUCGGAGGAACACCAGAAGCGAAGGCGGCUCACUGGCCCGAUACUGACGCUGAGGCGCGAAAGCGUGGGGAGCAAACAGGAUUAGAUACCCUAGUAGUCC
rnacentral:rRNA from 1 species